rnacentral:lncRNA from 1 species
AUAGAUAAUACAGACAUUCAUUUUAGAAUUAACUGUCAGCUUUUUCUUGAGACUCUUCUUAUGGAAAUUAGGGGGAAGACAAUUUCAUAUUCAAGUUUUAAAAAAAAGCAAGACGAAAAAAGGGAAAUCAAUCUUCGAAAUGAAAUAACUCAAUUAGAGGAAAGAGUUGAUGAACAUUCCAUUAACGAGUUAGAAGCAAAAAAGCAUGAGCUCGAAAGUUUACGAACACAAAAAUUAAAAGGGAAAUUAGUAAGAUCUCGUGUCCAAUACAGGAAGGGGAAAAACCUACUAAUUACUUCUGUGGCUUAGAAUCACGAAC